AUUGAACGCUGGCGGCAUGCCUUACACAUGCAAGUCGAACGGUAACAGGUCUUCGGAUGCUGACGAGUGGCGAACGGGUGAGUAAUACAUCGGAACGUGCCCGAUCGUGGGGGAUAACGAAGCGAAAGCUUUGCUAAUACCGCAUAAGAUCUAAGGAUGAAAGCAGGGGACCGCAAGGCCUUGCGCGAACGGAGUGGCCGAUGGCAGAUUAGGUAGUUGGUGGGAUAAAAGCUUACCAAGCCGACGAUCUGUAGCUGGUCUGAGAGGACGACCAGCCACACUGGGACUGAGACACGGCCCAGACUCCUACGGGAGGCAGCAGUGGGGAAUUUUGGACAAUGGGCGAAAGCCUGAUCCAGCCAUGCCGCGUGCAGGAUGGAGGCCUUCGGGUUGUAAACUGCUUCUGUACGGAACGAAAAGACUCUUUCUAAUAAAGAGGGUCCAUGACGGUACCGUAAGAAUAAGCACCGGCUAACUACGUGCCAGCCGCCGCGGUAAAAC
rnacentral:rRNA from 1 species